rnacentral:rRNA from 1 species
UACGUAGGGGGCAAGCGUUGUCCGGAUUUAUUGGGCGUAAAGAGCGUGUAGGCGGCCAGAUAGGUCCGUUGUGAAAACUGGAGGCUUAACCUCCAGCUGUCGAUGGAAACCACCUGGCUAGAGUCCGGAAGAGGAGAGUGGAAUUCCCGGUGUAGCGGUGAAAUGCGCAGAUAUCAGGAAGAACACCCGUGGCGAAGGCGGCUCUCUGGGACGGUACUGACGCUGAGACGCGAAAGCGUGGGGAGCGAACAGG